GAUGAACGCUGGCGGCGUGCCUAAUACAUGCAAGUCGAGCGAACAGAUGAGAAGCUUGCUCCUUUGAAGUUAGCGGCGGACGGGUGAGUAACACGUGGGUAACCUACCUAUAAGACUGGGAUAACUUCGGGAAACCGGAGCUAAUACCGGAUAACAUUUAGAACCGCAUGGUUCUAAAGCGAAAGAUGGUUUUGCUAUCACUUAUAGAUGGACCCGCGCCGUAUUAGCUAGUUGGUAAGGUAACGGCUUACCAAGGCGACGAUACGUAGCCGACCUGAGAGGGUGAUCGGCCACACUGGAACUGAGACACGGUCCAGACUCCUACGGGAGGCAGCAGUAGGGAAUCUUCCGCAAUGGGCGAAAGCCUGACGGAGCAACGCCGCGUGAGUGAUGAAGGGUUUCGGCUCGUAAAACUCUGUUAUUAGGGAAGAACAAAUGUGUAAGUAACUGUGCACAUCUUGACGGUACCUAAUCAGAAAGCCACGGCUAACUACGUGCCAGCCGCCGCCGUAA
rnacentral:rRNA from 1 species